ACUCCUAGAAUUGUUUCAGGUGUGACUACUGUGUCACAUGUAAUGGCAGAAAGGAGAGAGGCUAUGUGUUCUAACUUAGUAGAGUGUUUAGUAGCCUGAGAGU
rnacentral:snoRNA from 1 species